AUUGAACGCUGGCGGCAGGCUUAACACAUGCAAGUCGAGCGGGGACUUCGGUCCUAGCGGCGAACGGGUGAGGAAUGCUUGGGAAUCUGCCCAGUAGCGGGGGAUAACGUUUCGAAAGGAACGCUAAUACCGCAUACGCCCUACGGGGGAAAGGGGGGGAUCUUCGGACCUCUCACUAUUGGAUGAGCCCAAGUCGGAUUAGCUAGUUGGUGGGGUAAAGGCCUACCAAGGCGACGAUCCGUAGCUGGUCUGAGAGGAUGAUCAGCCACACUGGAACGUAGAACCGGUCCAGACUCCUACGGGAGGCAGCAGUGGGGAAUAUUGGACAAUGGGCGAAAGCCUGAUCCAGCCAUGCCGCGUGUGUGAAGAAGGCCUUCGGGUUGUAAAGCACUUUAAGCGAGGAGGAAUGGCUGAGGGUUAAUAACCUUCAGCAGUGACGUUACUCGCAGAAUAAGCACCGGCUAACUCUGUGCCAGCCGCCGCGGUAAGAC
rnacentral:rRNA from 1 species